UUGAUCAUGGAUUUAUAAUCCGAUCGGACAUGAAGCUCACUAAAUCUUCAAGCCGCAGCCUAACAGCAAAAUGCACUGCCCACGCUUCGGCUGAAAGAAAAGAGAGCUACACUGCUCCAAUCCACCACCUACCUAUUUCAGAGCACGUGAAGGCCCAUUGGGUUAUUGAUACUGGUCUCCGAAAUAAAGCUCGCAAAAGAGCACGUUGUGAAUUAUGGACUUUUGGUCACUAGUUGUGAUUUUUAUUUUAUUUUCGGCAAGUUCAUAUAUUUUCCCAAACC
rnacentral:lncRNA from 1 species